GUGGGAUUUAUUGUUUUCUACUGUGCUGGAUAGAAAGAUUGACUUAGGUCACAAGUACCGGUCUUACUCGUCUGGGCUCACUAGUAUCGCUUUCCAAUUCCUUCAGAUUCCUUGGUCUCGACCAGUAAACCUCCAAUCCAUCAUGUCCCCUGUGGAGUGGUUUUAGCAAGGAAGAUGGAGAGCCCAUUCUCUCACUCACAAGGGUUGACAUCUCUUUGUCCCUUUCAGAAUCUGAGUUAUUUGAUGUAGAAAUUGUGGCUGAGGAUCGUCUAAUGGAGAUUCCUGAUCCCCAAUUCUUGGGUAUCGAGAAUAACACGAAUCUCAAGUGCCACCAUGGGAGCUGCUGGAGAGGAAGAUAGCUUUCGGCAUGGCUGCGACAGGCAAGAGGAUUUUUGGCAAAUGAGAAGAGAUCUUCAAUGAAAUUAUCAUUCUAUACCAUUCUUAGAUUAGGUUCUCUAAGUGUUGCUGUGACUUUAGCCACUUUUGUCCUUAUGUUUUUUGCAUAAUUCGAUUGCUUUGUGGUUAAUGUGUAAAAACCUUGUAUGAUCGAAUUAUUACUAUCCAUUUCUA